GCCAACUGCGACGCCGUCACGAGCAUUGCUCUGUUUAUCGUCAUCGACGAUCCUCUCCACAGAGACGUAACGCCUUCGCCGCGAACCAUCUGCGCGAUCGCGUCCAAAACGCUUUUGUAGUUUCUCCGAUCGACAAUCGGUAGACGACCGUCGGCUUGCAUUCUCACCAUCGCUACAUCUGCAGGGUUUCCCACGGCGGCUCCGAUUCCUCCGGCGAUGAAUCCGGCGGCGAGUUUUUUGGAUAAAGGUAUCGUCUUUGUUUCCGGGUCGGUCCAUCUGGUCUUGAGAAUGUCGUAUAAACCCAUGCGAGUCGUUGAAUACAGAGUUUGACGGAGAACGGUGGCGGAGACGCCGGAGAACAGAGCACGCAUGCCUUCUUUUUGGAUGAUACGAGAUCCGACGCCGAUUAUACCCACGCGCGGUGGUGGUGGAGGCGCGUGGACGGCGGAGGAAGUCUGGAAAGCAAGCGCAGGUCGGAGAUUUGUCUGAAUUGAAGCUGAUUCGCCUUGGAGUUGCAUUCGGACCUUGAUUAGAUCGAGCGGGUGGGUCGAACAACCCGCUACGAUUGAUGCGAUUCCUCCUUCGGCGAAACCCUUGAGACCC
rnacentral:lncRNA from 1 species